rnacentral:tRNA from 1 species
GAGAGAGAACAUAAAGACAUGCGACGAAGGCCGCUACCCUUUGUUUGCCGUCGGUUAAAAUCCGACGCUCCCUCG